AUUCCACUAUUUUACCAGCACUGAGCACCAUUACCCUGUGGGAGAGAAACAAAGGCAGAAAUGUUAACCCGCUGAGUAGUGUAAAUAUCAUUACUCGCCGGCAGAGGAGGCUUCGACAGAAGUGGAUUUCUUGCUAAAAUGAGAAGAAAAUAAUAGUGUACAUAUUUAGUAUAAUUGUUAUUUCAGGUAAGGAUUUAAGUCAGAUUUAGGUGUAAAUGUUUUUCCAUGUCAGCCCUGCAAAGGAUUGCCAAGAAUUUCCCCUGCCUUUUUUCCAAGUGCAUGCAGGGAUACGCUCCAAUCCCGUUGUAACCCUG